rfam:Loxodonta africana unplaced genomic scaffold scaffold_24, whole genome shotgun sequence.
GCCUGGGUAGCUCAGUUGGAAGAGCAUCAGGCUUUUAAUCUGAGGGUCCAAGGUUCAAGCCCCUGUUCAGGCA